rfam:Hordeum vulgare subsp. vulgare, WGS project CAJW01000000 data, contig: morex_contig_45453
CUAAUACUCCCUCUGUCCGGAAUUACUUGUCAUAAAAAUGAAUACAAAUUGAUGUAUUUAGAACUAAAAUACAUCUAAACACAUCCAUUUCUAUGACAAGUAUUUUCGAACAGAGAAAGUAUAAA